rnacentral:rRNA from 1 species
CCUACGGGAGGCAGCAGUGAGGAAUAUUGGUCAAUGGGCGCAAGCCUGAACCAGCCAAGUCGCGUGAAGGAUGAAGGCCCUACGGUUUGUAAACUUCUUUUAUAAAGGAAUAAAGGGAUGCACGUGUGCCUUUUUGCAUGUACUUUAUGAAUAAGGAUCGGCUAACUCCGUGCCAGCAGCCGCGGUAAUACGGAGGAUCCGAGCGUUAUCCGGAGUUAUUGGGUUUAAAGGGUGCGUAGAUGGGUUGUUAAGUCAGUGGUGAAAGUUUGGGGCUCAACCGUAAAAUUGCAAUUGAUACUGGCAGUCUUGAGUGCGGUUGAGGUAGGCGGAAUUCGUGGUGUAGCGGUGAAAUGCUUAGAUAUCACGAAGAACUCCGAUUGCGAAGGCAGCUUACUAAGCUGCCACUGACACUGAUGCACGAAAGCGUGGGUAUCAAACAGGAUUAGAUACCCCGGUAGUC